rnacentral:rRNA from 1 species
AACGAACGCUGGCGGCAGGCCUAACACAUGCAAGUCGAGCGAAGCCUUCGGGCUUAGCGGCGGACGGGUGAGUAACGCGUGGGAACGUUCCCUUUGCUGCGGGAUAGCCCCGGGAAACUGGGAGUAAUACCUUAUGUGCCCUUCGGGGGACUGACUAAUCGGAGGAGCCUGCUUCGGAUUAGCCAGUUGGUAGGGUAAAGGCCUACCAAGGCGACGAUCCGUCGCUGGUCUGAGAGGAUGAUCAGCCACACCGGAACUGAGACACGGUACGGACUCCUACGGGAGGCAGCAGUGGGGAAUAUUGCGCAAUGGGGGCAACCCUGACGCAGCCAUGCCGCGUGUGUGAAGAAGGCCUUCGGGUUGUAAAGCACUUUCAGAGGGGAGGAAAGGGCGCUGGCUAAUUUCCGGCGCAGUUGACGCUACCCUCAGAAGAAGCACCGGCUAAUUCCGUGCCAGCAGCCGCAGUAA